rnacentral:rRNA from 1 species
CACUCCUGCGGGAGGCAGCAGUGGGGAAUUUUGGACAAUGGGGGCAACCCUGAUCCAGCAAUGCCGCGUGAGUGAAGAAGGCCUUCGGGUUGUAAAGCUCUUUUGUCAGGGAAGAAACGGUGGUGGCGAAUAACUACUACUAAUGACGGUACCUGAAGAAUAAGCACCGGCUAACUACGUGCCAGCAGCCGCGGUAAUACGUAGGGUGCAAGCGUUAAUCGGAAUUACUGGGCGUAAAGCGUGCGCAGGCGGUUGUGUAAGUCAGAUGUGAAAUCCCCGGGCUCAACCUGGGAAUUGCAUUUGAGACUGCACGGCUAGAGUGUGUCAGAGGGGGGUAGAAUUCCACGUGUAGCAGUGAAAUGCGUAGAUAUGUGGAGGAAUACCGAUGGCGAAGGCAGCCCCCUGGGAUAACACUGACGCUCAUGCACGAAAGCGUGGGGAGCAAACAGGAUUAGAUACCCCUGUAGUCCCAU